GGCGGGUUGCCCGAGUGGCCAAUGGGAGCGGACUGUAAAUCCGUCGCGAAAGCUUCAGAGGUUCGAAUCCUCUACCCGCCACCA
rnacentral:tRNA from 1 species